AGAAGCAAGAGGUGUUUUACUGCUGACAUUAUUGGUUUUCUCCAUGUGUUGCUGGGUGGCCCAAGGACGAUACCUACCAACGAGAUCUGACAAAACAAGAAAAGAUCAAAUCAAAGAAAUAAUCCGAAUACUAUUAGACCUAAACAACGAGGAUGACCAGGAAUACAACAGACAGCAACUAGAGUACGACUACAGGCUCCCUCUACCAUUAAUUAAACGUACUGUUCCUGACAGCUUCAUCCGAAAGUGAUAGGUGAUUUCACUUUCAAUGGACGACAGGCCCUGAAGUACUAAUGUAUGCAUUUUGAAAAGUAAUGUUUAUCGUUCAGUUUCCCUUUAUACAGUAGUAGUAGAUAUAAAAAAAAAGCUUUGUCCUUACUACAUUUUUCCGUAAGUUUGUUUUGUGUAAAAAUAUUCAAUACUUUUUAAAAUCAGUAAUAGCUCUGAACAAAUAACGUGAAACAGCACCACCGAAUGCAAUUUCAGAAGUUAAUAUAUAAAAGUUCAAAAUAUAUUCCUAAUCAAAUACCAGAAAACUUUAGAUUUUAGUAACUAAGAAACAAUUCCCCUUAUAAAAUUAAGUAACACGGAUAAACAGUUUCAGAUUCGAAAAAAAAAUACGUUAUUAAAAUAAAAUAUUAAACUGAAUAAAAGUGGUUAUUUAAUUUUUGAAGAGCAACGUUCACAGUUGGGAAUACUUAAGAGUACUGCAUCAGUAAAAAAAAUGAAAUAAUAAAACAGGGGUAUUGAUGACAAUCGAAUCCAAUUCAAUGUAUGUUCACUCUGUUUAAUUAUCUUUUUAAUCUAGUUUUAUUGUUGUAAAAUGAAAA